CCCUUAGAUGUCCUGGGCUGCACGCGCGCUACACUGAUGUGUCCAGUAAGCACCUAACCUAUUCCGAGAGGAGCGGGUAACCUUAGCAAAGCACAUCGUGAUGGGGAUAGAUUAUUGCAAUUAUUAGUCUUGAACGAGGAAUUCCUAGUAAGCACAAGUCAUCAGCUUGUGUUGAUUACGUCCCCGCCCUUUGUACACACCGCCCGUCGCUCCUACCGAUUGAAUGUUCCGGUGAGCUCUUCGGACUGCGCGGUCUGCAGUUUCUGCGUUCCGUGCGGAAAGUUGUGCAAACCUUAACAUUUAGAGGAAGGAGAAGUCGUAACA
rnacentral:rRNA from 1 species